UACGUAGGGUGCAAGCGUUGUUCGGAAUUACUGGGCGUAAAGGGCUCGUAGGCGGCCAACUAAGUCGGAUGUGAAAUCCCCAGGCUCAACCUGGGAACUGCAUCCGAUACUGGAAGGCUUGAAUCCGGGAGAGGGAUGCGGAAUUCCAGGUGUAGCGGUGAAAUGCGUAGAUAUCUGGAGGAACACCGGUGGCGAAGGCGGCAUCCUGGACCGGCAUUGACGCUGAGGCGCGAAAGCCAGGGGAGCAAACGGG
rnacentral:rRNA from 1 species